GGGGCUGUGGCUCAGUGGAAGAGCCUCUGCUUGGCAUACAGAAGGUCCCAGGUUCAGUCCCCAGCACCUCCA
rnacentral:tRNA from 1 species